UGUAUUUCACCUUGCUUAUUGUGUCUGUACACGCUUGUUCAGGUGUUUUCGUUGUCCGGGAUGCUGACACCAAGUAGCGCAAAAAGUACACGCAGACUGGAGAGACUACAAGUUUCAAGCACAUGAUGCGGACCCCGGAUACACUGAUACAGCGAAGGAAAGCAUUGGGAUUCCUUAUUCUCGUUGUUUUAAACGAAGGACCCUGCUUCACUCUCAUCUCAGCAGGAACGAACGAAGGCGACAGCUCGACUAGCUGCUCAGCAGACGGGAACAAGGUCACCGGAACUGUAAUGUCUGUAGUUUGUAAUCGUGCUUCCGUCGUCAAGGUAAAAGAGGAGGAAGUGCCCGCUGAGAUGUGUCGAGAGCGGUUCCGGUGGCAUGUCCUCAAUAGCUGGUGCAGUCCAGUGGAGCUUCUCUACAACGUAACCGUGCCUAUGAUUCGAAAGCCUCGUGCGCGGAAAACCACGAAAGUGAUGGUCAAUUUCACAACAGGAGGAUGGAAAUAAGCAAACGUGAAAUGGGCUCACGACAGCUUAAACGAAGGCGAACUGAGACUGGUUACGAAGGUCAGACAUGCAGUUACACUGUUACGAUUAUCUUCACUAUAUCCAAAAGAGCUUCAGAAAAAGAGAGAAAGAUGGCGAAACUACGGAAGAUUUGCGAUCCUACGGAACGGCAGUCGACAACAGGACGUCAUAUUAUCUGUAUGCUAACCGAUAAGUACGAGCAAAAAGUGUGUCGCUAUCCACGAGACGCAGAAACGACUGGUGACUACUGACUGUAAUUGUGUGAUGUAAUAAAAGCUAUCAGGAAUAAACUUGCAAUGUUA